CCACAAUAGGCCAUCAGCAAGUUGAGGAGCAAGGAAGCCAGUCUGUGUCUUAAAGCUGAAGAACUUGAGUCUGAUGUUCGAGGGCAGGAAGCAUCCAGCAUGGGACAAGGAGGUAGGCUGGGAGGCUAGGUCAGUCUAGUCUUUUCAAAUUCUUCUGCCUGCUUUGUAUUUUGGCCACACUGGCAGCUAAUUAGAUGGUGCCCACCCACAUUGAGGGUGGGUCUGCCUUUCCCAGUCCACUGACUCAAAUGUUAAUCUCCUUUGGCAUCACCCUCACAGACACACCCAGGAACAAUACUUUGCAUCCUUCAAUCCAAUCAAGUUGACAGUUUUGUUUGAGACAGAACAAUGGACUGUAACAUCUGCUUCCCACGUUCAAGCAAUUCUACUGCCUCAGCCUCCUGAGUAGUUGGGAUUACAGGCCCCCACCACCAUGCCUGGCUAAUUUUUGUAGUUUUUUAGUAGAGACGGGGUUUUGCCAUUUUGGCCAGGCUGGUCUCGAACUCCUGACCUCAGGUGAUCUGGCCCCCUCCACCUCCCAAAGUGCUGGGAUUACAAGCAUGAUCCACCAUGCCUGGCUGACACUGAGGAUUAACAGUCACAGGUUGCAUGUUUACUUGUAUGCUUCAUACAUGUGAACCUAAUUUGCAUGCAUGUGGGUCUCCUUCUUGAAUAUUCAUAAAUCCUCCUAUCUUCUGUUUGACUAUGAAUACCCUACCACCACAUCAGGCAUACAUACCAGCUGGGGACUACCCAGGUCCACGUCCUGGACAUGUCGAGGCUUUUUCCAGAAGGCAGGUAUGAAGUCUGGUUUGACACACCCAAGUGACCCCAGAGGGUGUCAUAAUAGACUGGAAAGGUGACACAUCCCAGACACCUUCCACCCAUCACACACACCUCCCACCCACUGGCAUCCUUCCGCCCCAGGCACACACAAAGCCUCAGUCCAGAGAUCAACUGUCUUACCUCUGAAUUUGUAUAACUUGUGUGUAGACUCACUGAUCACAAUCUCUGCCCAGCCUGGCUUGUGCAUACUUCUUUCUUACUGUCAGGAGAGGAGCCCGUCCUGGCACUCCCAUUGGCCUAUAGAAUCACCUCCCCUGGGCAGGGCCCCAGGACCCAGGAUAAUACCUGUGCCUCUUGCCCAGAACCCUCCAAGCAGACACGAUGGUCAUUACUCUCUGACCUAUCUCUACACUGGGCUGUCCAGGCCUAGCAAAGGCACCCACAGGCUGCAGGGCACUGUCUUCCUCAAUGACGGUGCAUUCUUCCACUACAACAGUGAAGACGGGAAGGCUGAGCCCUGGGAUCAUGCAGACACGUGGAAGGAGUAGAGGACUGGGAGAAGCAGAACCAACUUCAGAAGGCCAGGGAGGACAUCUUUAUGGAGACCCUGAAUAACAUCAUGGAGUAUUACAACAACAGUAGUGGUCAGUGAACAACAGACCGCGGGGGUGGAAGGUCUAACCCAAGACGCAGCCCCCCAAGUGUGAGUCACAAGGGGUCAGCAGGAUGGAAAUAGUCCCAAUCCCAGCAGAGGAACAGGAGGCACAGCAGAAAUGCAGACAUGUCCACAUCCCGCCCACACCACAGCACAGGUGCUCCCCACUUCCCCAUCGAUUGCCCCAUCCUCAUCCCAGGCCUCAGCUCACACAGGAAGUGAUGGCAGAGUCACUUCCUAUCCAGGCACCUCUGACCUCUCACCUCCACAACUUACCCGUCAGAGGCUGAUCUCCCAGUGAGCAGGCAUCAGACUCACCCCUGUUCAGAGAGGUUGCCUGGAGAGUGAGCCGCUCUCAAAGUCAUUCAGACCUGGGCUCACCUGGUGGCUCCGCCAGUCCUAGCUGUUGACAGUGAAACAUUCC
rnacentral:lncRNA from 1 species